GCUCCGGGGGCCUAGUGGUUAGAGCGUUUGCCUUGGAUGCAGAAUGAUUCCGGGUUCGAACCACGGCCGAAUCA